rnacentral:lncRNA from 1 species
AGUCACCACCACCACCGUCUCCUUCACUACCUCCUCCUUACGUGUACAAGUCACCACCUCCUCCGUCUCCAUCUCCUCCACCACCAUAUGAGCACAAGGCUCCAUCUUAUAAGUAUAAGUCCCCUCCACCUCCUUCACCAUCUCCCCCACCUCCCUAUGUGUACAAAUCACCACCUCCUCCAUCACCAUCACCUCCACCACCUUACAUUUACAAAUCUCCACCACCACCCUCACCUUCCCCUCCCCCACCAUACUAUUAUAAAUCUCCUCCACCACCAUCUCCCUCACCCCCACCACCAUAUUAUUACAAGUCUCCUCCACCACCUUCUCCUUCUCCUCCCCCUCCAUACUACUAUAAAUCUCCUCCACCACCCUCUCCGUCACCUCCACCUCCUUACUACUAUAAGUCUCCUCCACCUCCCUCACAUUCCCCUCCUCCACCAUACUAUUACAAGUCUCCUCCACCACCCUCUCCCUCACCCCCACCUCCAUAUUACUACAAAUCUCCUCCACCACCCUCUCCCUCACCCCCACCUCCAUAUUAUUACAAGUCUCCCCCACCACCCUCACCAUCCCCUCCCCCACCAUACUAUUAUAAGUCUCCUCCACCCCCACAUAUACACAAGGACCCACCAUACUAUUACAAGUCCCCACCACCACCUUCACCAUCUCCUCCACCACCUUACUACUAUAAAUCUCCCCCACCACCCUCACCAUCUCCUCCACCACCAUACUACUACAAAUCUCCCCCACCACCUUCACCAUCUCCUCCACCACCAUACUACUACAAAUCUCCUCCUCCUCCAUCCCCUAUCCCCCGUACACCUUACUACUACAAGUCCCCGCCACCACCUUCACCAUCUCCUCCACCACCAUACUAUUACAAAUCUCCUCCCCCGCCAUCUCCUAUUCCCCAGACACCUUACUACUACAAGUCCCCACCACCACCUAAGUAUCUUCCACCACCAUACUAUUAUAACUCUCCUCCUCCACAUGUUGUGUAUCCUCAACCACACCCUUACCACCACUCAUUGAUUGUGAAGGUAGUGGGUAAAGUCUACAGCUUUAGGUGCUAUGAUUGGGAGUAUCCUGAAAAGUCUCAUGACAAGAAACACCUCAAAGGUACAUCACUUACUAAGGAUUGAACUUCUAUACACUAAUGAGUUUAGAGCAUGCAUGAGACUUAAUCGUUUAUCUGUUAAAAUCUUAAUUGCUUUAAAAUUAUUCAUUAAUAUUUUGAUAAAAAAUACAACUCUCUGUUUAUUUUGAUAUAUAGAUAGAUAGAUAAUUCAAAUAUAAAAUUCAAAUUAACUUUUAUCCACACGACAAUGGGCCAAUUUGAUUAAGAUUUUCCUAAAAAAUGAUUUUAUAGUAUUUUAUCUUUUUAUAAUAUUUUUAAAAAUAAAACUUCAAAUAAAAAAUUAGUUUAAAUAGUUUAUUUUAAAAUAUCGUUUUAAGUAUUUCAUCUAUUUAAUUAUUUUUGUGGACAAUGAAAUUUCAAAAAAAUGAUUAAAAUAAAAUCUAUUUUAAGAAUCUUUUUGUAAAAAUUAUUUUUGAAAGAUAUCUUUUUUUUUUAAAUUAUUUUUUAUCAUAUUAAAAUCUCUAAUAAUAAAUGUUUAAGUUAUUGAAUGUCAAAAUUAUUUUUUUAGUUGGUAAUAAAUAAAUGUAAAACAAACUUUAAUAUUUUUAAGUAAAUUCUCAUAAAAAUUUAAAUAUAUAAAAUCAAUUACUUUUUAAAAAUUUUAAAUAAUCGAAUUCAAUAUAAAUUGCUUAGAACCGGCUACAACCUGCCAAGAAUAAAGAAAACAAUCAAUAUGUCAAAUUAAUAUGUACAAUCUACCUCGUUGGAAUUUAAUAAUUGCCCCUAAUUUAAUAUUCUACUUGAAAUUGAUUGUUUAACAUGCUGCUUUUAAUAAUAAAGACCUAUAUAGUAUGUGUUUCUAUAUUUUACUCGAUCCUAAAGUAAUUUUGUUAUGGGGCAGGUGCUGUUGUUGAGGUGACAUGCAAAGCAGGAAGCAAAAUCAUCAAGGCUUAUGGUAAAACUAAGAUCAACGGAAAGUAUAGCAUCACAGUUGAGGAUUUUGACUAUGUUAAAUAUGGUGCCACAGUGUGCAAAGCUGUGCUUUAUGCUCCACCUAAAAACUCACCUUUCAACAUACUUACAAAGCUAAACCAAGGAACCCCAUUGAAGUUGAAAUCCAAAGACAAGUAUGAGGUUGUGCUUCAGGCUAAGCCAUUUGCUUAUGCUUCAAAGAAACAUUUUAAAGAAUGUGAGAAGCCCAAGCCUUCACCAACUCCAUACUACUACAAGUCACCUCCUCCUCCGGUGCCAGUUUACAAGUACAACUCACCACCUCCACCGGUCCAUUAUUAUUCUCCUCCGUAUUACUACAAAUCACCACCUCCUCCUGUAAAAACACCGCCACAUCCUUACUAUUACAAGUCUCCACCACCACCAUCACCAUCUCCUCCUCCUCCAUAUUAUUACAAAUCUCCCCCACCUCCUUCACCAUCACCUCCUCCACCUUAUUAUUAUAAAUCUCCUCCUCCACCCAAAGUGAUAUCAAACCCUCCAUACUACUAUAAGUCACCACCUCCACCAUCACCGUCACCUCCUCCACCAUACUACUAUAAGUCCCCACCUCCACCAUCACCAUCUCCACCACCCCCAUACUAUUAUAAGUCACCACCUCCACCAUCACCAUCACCUCCUCCACCAUACUACUAUAAGUCCCCACCUCCACCAUCACCAUCACCUCCUCCACCAUACUACUAUAAGUCCCCACCCCCACCAUCACCAUCCCCACCACCACCUUACUAUUAUAAGUCCCCACCUCCACCCAAAGAGAUUUCACACCCUCCAUACUACUAUAAAUCACCACCCCCACCAUCACCGUCACCUCCUCCACCAUACUACUAUAAGUCCCCACCCCCACCAUCACCAUCCCCACCACCACCUUAUUAUUAUAAGUCUCCACCUCCACCCAAAGAGAUUUCACACCCUCCAUACUAUUAUAAGUCACCACCCCCGCCAUCACCAUCCCCUCCUCCGCCAUACUACUAUAAGUCACCACCCCCACCAUCUUCAUCCCCACCCCCACCAUAUUAUUACAAAUCUCCUCCACCACCAUCACCAUCACCACCACCUCCCUACUAUUACAAAUCACCUCCACCUCCUUCACCAUCACCACCACCUCCCUACUACUACAAAUCACCUCCACCACCAUCCCCAUCGCCACCACCUCCAUACUACUACAAAAGUCCCCCUCCACCAUCCCCCUCUCCUCCUCCCCCAUAUUACUACAAAUCUCCACCACCACCAUCACCAUCUCCACCUCCUCCCUACUAUUACAAAUCACCUCCUCCACCAUCACCAUCACCGCCACCUCCUUACUAUUACAAAUCUCCCCCACCUCCAUCUCCAUCUCCACCACCACCUUAUCAUUAUCAAAGUCCUCCUCCACCAUCUCCCAUUUCUCAUCCUCCCUACUAUUACAAAUCCCCUCCACCACCGUCGCCAUCUCCUCCACCUCCUUACCACUAUGUAAGUCCUCCACCACCAGUAAAGUCUCCUCCACCACCAGUUUAUAUAUAUGCUUCACCACCACCACCUAUCUACAACUAAG